CCUACGGGAGGCAGCAGUGGGGAAUAUUGGGCAAUGGGCGCAAGCCUGACCCAGCAACGCCGCGUGAAGGAAGAAGGCUUUCGGGUUGUAAACUUCUUUUCUGCGGGACGAAGAAAGUGACGGUACCUCAGGACUAAGCGACGGCUAAAUACGGGCCAGCAGCCGCGGUAAUACGUAGGUGGCAAGCGUUAUUCGGAUUUAUUGGGUGUAAAGGGCGUGUAGGCGGGAAAGGUAGUCAGAUGUGAAAACUCAGGGCUCAACCCCGGGCGUGCAUUUGAAACUGUUUUACUUGAGUUCGGGAGAGGCAAGCGGAAUUCGGGGUGUAGCGGUGAAAUGCGUAGAUAUACGGAGGAACACCAGUUGCGAAGGCGAAAUGCUGGAGAGUAACUGACGCUGAGGCGCGAAAGCGUGGGGAUCAAACAGGAUUAGAUACCCGAGUAGUC
rnacentral:rRNA from 1 species